rnacentral:rRNA from 1 species
GGGUUGUGAGGUUAAGCGACUAAGCGUACACGGUGGAUGCCCUGGCAGUCAGAGGCGAUGAAGGACGUGCUAAUCUGCGAUAAGCGUCGGUAAGGUGAUAUGAACCGUUAUAACCGGCGAUUUCCGAAUGGGGAAACCCAGUGUGAUUCGUCACACUAUCAUUAACUGAAUCCAUAGGUUAAUGAGGCGAACCGGGGGAACUGAAACAUCUAAGUACCCCGAGGAAAAGAAAUCAACCGAGAUUCCCCCAGUAGCGGCGAGCGAACGGGGAGCAGCCCAGAGCCUGAAUCAGUGUGUGUGUUAGUGGAAGCGUCUGGAAAGGCGCGCGAUACAGGGUGACAGCCCCGUACACAAAAAUGCACAUGCUGUGAGCUCGAUGAGUAGGGCGGGACACGUGGUAUCCUGUCUGAAUAUGGGGGGACCAUCCUCCAAGGCUAAAUACUCCUGACUGACCGAUAGUGAACCAGUACCGUGAGGGAAAGGCGAAAAGAACCCCGGCGAGGGGAGUGAAAAAGAACCUGAAACCGUGUACGUACAAGCAGUGGGAGCACGCUUAGGCGUGUGACUGCGUACCUUUUGUAUAAUGGGUCAGCGACUUAUAUUCUGUAGCAAGGUUAACCGAAUAGGGGAGCCGAAGGGAAACCGAGUCUUAACUGGGCGUUAAGUUGCAGGGUAUAGACCCGAAACCCGGUGAUCUAGCCAUGGGCAGGUUGAAGGUUGGGUAACACUAACUGGAGGACCGAACCGACUAAUGUUGAAAAAUUAGCGGAUGACUUGUGGCUGGGGGUGAAAGGCCAAUCAAACCGGGAGAUAGCUGGUUCUCCCCGAAAGCUAUUUAGGUAGCGCCUCGUGAAUUCAUCUCCGGGGGUAGAGCACUGUUUCGGCAAGGGGGUCAUCCCGACUUACCAACCCGAUGCAAACUGCGAAUACCGGAGAAUGUUAUCACGGGAGACACACGGCGGGUGCUAACGUCCGUCGUGAAGAGGGAAACAACCCAGACCGCCAGCUAAGGUCCCAAAGUCAUGGUUAAGUGGGAAACGAUGUGGGAAGGCCCAGACAGCCAGGAUGUUGGCUUAGAAGCAGCCAUCAUUUAAAGAAAGCGUAAUAGCUCACUGGUCGAGUCGGCCUGCGCGGAAGAUGUAACGGGGCUAAACCAUGCACCGAAGCUGCGGCAGCGACGCUGAUGCGUUGUUGGGUAGGGGAGCGUUCUGUAAGCCUGCGAAGGUGUGCUGUGAGGCAUGCUGGAGGUAUCAGAAGUGCGAAUGCUGACAUAAGUAACGAUAAAGCGGGUGAAAAGCCCGCUCGCCGGAAGACCAAGGGUUCCUGUCCAACGUUAAUCGGGGCAGGGUGAGUCGACCCCUAAGGCGAGGCCGAAAGGCGUAGUCGAUGGGAAACAGGUUAAUAUUCCUGUACUUGGUGUUACUGCGAAGGGGGGACGGAGAAGGCUAUGUUGGCCGGGCGACGGUUGUCCCGGUUUAAGCGUGUAGGCUGGUUUUCCAGGCAAAUCCGGAAAAUCAAGGCUGAGGCGUGAUGACGAGGCACUACGGUGCUGAAGCAACAAAUGCCCUGCUUCCAGGAAAAGCCUCUAAGCAUCAGGUAACAUCAAAUCGUACCCCAAACCGACACAGGUGGUCAGGUAGAGAAUACCAAGGCGCUUGAGAGAACUCGGGUGAAGGAACUAGGCAAAAUGGUGCCGUAACUUCGGGAGAAGGCACGCUGAUAUGUAGGUGAAGUCCCUCGCGGAUGGAGCUGAAAUCAGUCGAAGAUACCAGCUGGCUGCAACUGUUUAUUAAAAACACAGCACUGUGCAAACACGAAAGUGGACGUAUACGGUGUGACGCCUGCCCGGUGCCGGAAGGUUAAUUGAUGGGGUUAGCGCAAGCGAAGCUCUUGAUCGAAGCCCCGGUAAACGGCGGCCGUAACUAUAACGGUCCUAAGGUAGCGAAAUUCCUUGUCGGGUAAGUUCCGACCUGCACGAAUGGCGUAAUGAUGGCCAGGCUGUCUCCACCCGAGACUCAGUGAAAUUGAACUCGCUGUGAAGAUGCAGUGUACCCGCGGCAAGACGGAAAGACCCCGUGAACCUUUACUAUAGCUUGACACUGAACAUUGAGCCUUGAUGUGUAGGAUAGGUGGGAGGCUUUGAAGUGUGGACGCCAGUCU